ACCUGGGUGGCUCAGUUGGUUGAGCAUCUGUCUUUAGCUCAGGAUAUGAUCUUACAGUUCGUGGGUUCAAGCCCCACGUCGGGCU
rnacentral:tRNA from 1 species